rnacentral:rRNA from 1 species
UUACACAUGCAAGUCGAGGGGUAUAGUUCUUCGGAGCUAGAGACCGGCGCACGGGUGCGUAACGCGUAUGCAAUCUACCUUUUACAGAGGGAUAGCCCAGAGAAAUUUGGAUUAAUACCUCAUAGUAUGUGAGAAUCGCAUGGUUUUCACAUUAAAGUUCCAACGGUAAAAGAUGAGCAUGCGUCCCAUUAGCUAGAUGGUAAGGUAACGGCUUACCAUGGCAACGAUGGGUAGGGGUCCUGAGAGGGAGAUCCCCCACACUGGUACUGAGACACGGACCAGACUCCUACGGGAGGCAGCAGUGAGGAAUAUUGGACAAUGGGCGCAAGCCUGAUCCAGCCAUGCCGCGUGCAGGAUGACGGUCCUAUGGAUUGUAAACUGCUUUUGUACAGGAAGAAACACUCCCUCGUGAGGGAGCUUGACGGUACUGUAAGAAUAAGGAUCGGCUAACUCCGUGCCAGCAGCCGCGGUAAUACGGAGGAUCCAAGCGUUAUCCGGAAUCAUUGGGUUUAAAGGGUCCGUAGGCGGUUUAAUAAGUCAGUGGUGAAAGCCCAUCGCUCAACGGUGGAACGGCCAUUGAUACUGUUAAACUUGAAUUAUUAGGAAGUAACUAGAAUAUGUAGUGUAGCGGUGAAAUGCUUAGAGAUUACAUGGAAUACCAAUUGCGAAGGCAGGUUACUACUAAUGGAUUGACGCUGAUGGACGAAAGCGUGGGUAGCGAACAGGAUUAGAUACCCUGGUAGUCCACGCCGUAAACGAUGGAUACUAGCUGUUGGGAGCAAUCUCAGUGGCUAAGCGAAAGUGAUAAGUAUCCCACCUGGGGAGUACGUUCGCAAGAAUGAAACUCAAAGGAAUUGACGGGGGCCCGCACAAGCGGUGGAGCAUGUGGUUUAAUUCGAUGAUACGCGAGGAACCUUACCUAGGCUUAAAUGUAGUUUGACCGAUUUGGAAACAGAUCUUUCGCAAGACAA